AUGGCCGGCGCCGGCGAGGAGUUCAUGGCGUCGGCGGCGGGGGUGUGGGCGGAGCUGCCGGUGCGGGUGGACUGGGCGGCCGUGGCGGCGCAAUGCGCGUGGGCUGGCGCGCAGGCGCGUGCGUUCCUGGUGGUGCCGGCCAUCCGGCUGCUGCUGGUCCUGUCGCUGACCAUGACGGUGAUGAUCCUGCUCGAGAAGAUCUUCGUCGCCGCCGUCUGCUUCGCGGCCAAGGCCUUCGGGCACAAGCCGGAGCGCCGGUACCAGUGGCGGCCGAUCGCCGCGUCGGCCUGCAAAACGGGCGGCGUCGACGAGGAGGCCAGCGUCGGCGGCGGAAGCUCGGCGUUCCCCGUGGUGCUGGUGCAGAUCCCCAUGUACAACGAGCGCGAGGUGUACAAGCUGUCGAUCGGGGCGGCAUGUGCGCUGGAGUGGCCGUCGGACCGCGUGGUGAUCCAGGUGCUGGACGACUCCACGGACCCCGCUGUAAAGGACCUAGUGGAGAUCGAGUGCCAGAGGUGGAAAGGCAAGGGGGUGAACAUCAAGUACGAGGUGAGAGGGAACCGGAAGGGGUACAAGGCCGGCGCGCUCAAGGAGGGGCUGAAGCACGACUACGUGCAGGAGUGCGAGUUCAUCGCCAUGUUCGACGCCGAUUUCCAGCCCGAGUCCGACUUCCUCCUGCGCACCGUCCCCUUCCUCGUGCACAACCCUGACAUCGCCCUCGUCCAGACCCGCUGGAAGUUCGUUAAUUCGGAUGAGUGUUUGCUGACAAGAUUCCAGGAAAUGUCACUAGACUACCAUUUCAAGUUUGAGCAGGAGGCCGGGUCCAUAGUCUACUCGUUUUUCGGCUUCAACGGGACGGCCGGUGUCUGGAGGAUAUCGGCGAUCGACGAUGCCGGUGGGUGGAAGGACAGGACGACGGUGGAGGACAUGGACCUGGCUGUUCGCACGGCGCUGAAGGGCUGGAAGUUCGUGUAUGUUGGCGCCGUAAAAGUCAGGAGUGAGCUGCCAAGCACAUUCAAGGCGUACCGAUUCCAGCAGCACAGGUGGUCGUGUGGACCUGCAAACCUGUUCAAGAAAAUGUUGGUAGAGAUUCUAGAGAACAAGAAAGUGUCAUUUUGGAGCAAGCUCCACCUCUUGUACGAUUUCUUCUUCGUUGGGAAGAUUGCUGCCCAUACGGUGACGUUCAUCUACUACUGCUUCGCGAUCCCGUUGUCCGUUUUCUUCCCUGAGAUUCAGAUUCCUCUCUGGGGCGUGGUCUACGUUCCAACUGUUAUCACCCUCUGCAAGGCUCUUGGAUCACCAAGUUCAUUUCAUCUGGUGAUCCUCUGGGUCCUCUUUGAGAAUGUGAUGUCGUUGCACCGGAUAAAAGCGGCGGUAACCGGUCUUCUAGAUGCCGGACGAGUCAAUGAGUGGGUUGUCACUGAGAAAUUGGGAGAUGCCAACAAGACCAAGCCAGCCAUGGAAGCAUUAGAUGCUGUGAAAGUGAUAGAUGUUGAGCUAGCGACGCCCCUAGUGCCAAAGCUCAAGAAGAGGAGAAUAAAAUUAUGGGACAAGUACAACUGCUCAGAGAUUUUUGUUGGAACCUCCAUAAUUAUAUGUGGUUUCUACGAUUUGUUUUAUGCAAACAAAGGGUACUACAUCUACCUCUUCAUUCAAGGCCUAGCAUUCCUCGUUGUCGGUUUUGAGUAUAUCGGCACACGCCCUCCCACUCCCAGCGCCGAAUAA
rnacentral:rRNA from 1 species